rnacentral:rRNA from 1 species
UACGUAGGGGGCGAGCGUUGUCCGGAUUUAUUGGGCGUAAAGAGCUCGCAGGCGGUUUGGCAAGUCGGGUGUGAAAACUCCGGGCUCAACUCGGAGACGCCACUCGAUACUGCUAUGACUCGAGUCCGGUAGGGGAGUGCGGAAUUCCUGGUGUAGCGGUGAAAUGCGCAGAUAUCAGGAGGAACACCGGUGGCGAAGGCGGCACUCUGGGCCGGUACUGACGCUGAGGAGCGAAAGCGUGGGGAGCGAACAGG